rnacentral:rRNA from 1 species
UACGGGGGGGGCAAGCGUUGUUCGGAAUUACUGGGCGUAAAGGGCUCGUAGGCGGCCAACUAAGUCAGACGUGAAAUCCCUCGGCUUAACCGGGGAACUGCGUCUGAUACUGGAUGGCUUGAGAUUGGGAGAGGGAUGCGGAAUUCCAGGUGUAGCGGUGAAAUGCGCAGAUAUCAGGAGGAACACCGGUGGCGAAGGCGCCACUCUGGGCCGGCACUGACGCUGAGGAGCGAAAGCGUGGGUAGCAAACAGG